rnacentral:rRNA from 1 species
GACCUCGGAUCAGGUAGGAAUACCCGCUGAACUUAAGCAUAUCAAUAAGCGGAGGAAAAGAAACCAACAGGGAUUGCCUCAGUAACGGCGAGUGAAGCGGCAAAAGCUCAAAUUUGAAAUCUGACCCUUCGGGUCCGAGUUGUAAUUUGCAGAGGAUGUUUCGGGUAAGAUUUAGGUCUAAGUUCCUUGGAACAGGACGUCAUAGAGGGUGAGAAUCCCGUACGUGACCGUUGAUCGCACCCAUGUGAAACUCCUUCGACGAGUCGAGUUGUUUUGGAAUGCAGCUCAAAAUGGGUGGUAAAUUUCAUCUAAAGCUAAAUAUUGGCCAGAGACCGAUAGCGCACAAGUAGAGUGAUCGAAAGAUGAAAAGCACUUUGAAAAGAGAGUUAAACAGUAUGUGAAAUUGUUGAAAGGGAAGCGCUUGCAACCAG